rnacentral:lncRNA from 1 species
CUGUCCUGCACCUCUGAAGCAUUUACAAAUGUUCCACUUUAUGUAUGUCACAUAGUCAUGCUGGGAAUGGCCUGAAAAUUCUCUUGAUAAUGCACAGGAACAUCUACAGGUUUAUUUUGUUCAUUUGAGAUGUUAAUAAGUGUGAACAGCAAGAGUACAGCCACACAGAAUGAUUUAAAUGGGAGGCUAUGACUGGUAUGAUGCAAUUCAUGCACUACUGCCACACAGUCUCUUGUCAACUGUGAACAACUAAAACUUGAUUUUAAUUUCUAUUGCAAAAUGUCACAGAGCUGGUGCCCAGCCUAAGAGAAGAGCUGCCAUUGACUCAGUGUGAGUUGAAAAGACAGAGCUCCAUCAGGUGGAACGUGAUCUGUGGAAACAACCUUGCUUUUCCAAAGGUGGUCUGAUGUUCAAACACUAACUCCAACCCACUGUGUCUUGCAAAACUUCACAAGGUCAUGCUGAGGAGCAGAAAGGCUUUAAAUGAAUCCUGCACAGAAUUUUAUGGAAGUGACCACCGUCUUCAGAAUGUGCAUGAGUGAUCUAGAUUCACAGGAAAAAAAAUAUUCCUGAAAAGUGCUCCUAUAGAAGAAGGACCAACGGCAUUAAUCUCAUAUAGAUCAAGGGAAUGAUUCAGAAACACAAGGCAAGUAUCGUGGGGUUUAGAUUCUAGAAACAAAUUCUUCUCUGAGAAAAAGACACUCAAACUGGGCUUAAUCCACAGUACUGCCACUCAGGGACCAACUAUAAUCUGUUUAGGCCCAUAUCUUGUAUUUACAAGUACCGGAAUCAAAUACUGACAGCACUCAGUAGUGCAUAAUUAAAUUCUUACUCCCUUCUGAAGUCAUUGGCAAAAUUUCCACUGACUUCAAUAGUGCUAGAUUAAGCUUUCACUAAAUGUCAUGAGAAUUUGAAAAGUGAAGUUGAUCCAAAUUUUACAAAUGGUUCCUUGUCUUUAUUGUGGAUCAAAGCAAAACCAUAACCUAAACAAACAAACAAACAAAAAAACAACAGUUCACUGUGAAUGAAAUAAGGGUAAGGAUUCAUAUUGUGUGUUCUGAAUGCUUUUCCAGAAGAUAUUCAAAACUGAGUCACUUGGGGGACUACAGCAAUUAUAAGAGUUGUGUAAAUAUCACAUAGCAAAAAAUAUUCCUUGGUUAGCCUGCUCUUUUUGGCACAAUCCAUCUGGCAGAAACUUAUACAUUUAUUUUGUUGUUGUUGCUCAAGAGCUCCUGGUGAGUAAUUCUUGCUCUGCAGAUGGUAUAUGAUGUAGAUGAUUCUUUAAGUCCAAUUUCAAGCUGUAGCUCUGUGGUUUGUCACAGUGUUUUGCUGUAGUCUGAUGGCAGGAACUUUCAGAAGCCAAUUUC